UCGGUCUUCACAAGACUCCAAUUCCCAGCAAGCCCCACACCUUGAGCUUCUAUUGGCCGGGAGAGGCCGGAAGUGGUUGGGCUACGGAAGGUCAGAGGUUAGAGGGGACGCCAGUCGCCCGCCGGAGUGGAAGAGAAGCCGGUCCUUGCUGAAGUCUGCUUAACCCUUCAGGAGAUCUCAAGAUGGAAGAAACUGGAGAAUCCAAUCCACCUGAAGAAUUGCUCCAUGGCUUAAAGCUUUCUGAUCAGAAGUCAUCAGAGAACACCAGUCCUUUGACAGCUGGUUCCAAAGAUGCACAUCUUCCAAGAAGCCUGGACCGGGGAGAUCUUCAUUCCUCUGCCCAAGAGGCUAGAGCAGCAGAUGAGUGUUUUCAUGACUGUAAAGAGUCCUUUGAGGUAAAGGAACCAGGAAUAGAACAGGAGAGAGACAACAGUGAGGAUCCCAUAGGGAAACAGACAGAAUUAGAUGAAGAAUACCUAUUAGAACUGGAAAAAAAUAUGCCAGAGGAAGAAAAACAGAAAAGAAGAAAGGAGAGCACAACGUUAAAGGAGAAAGGAAAUGAGCAGUUUAAGAAAGGAGAAUAUGGGGAAGCAGAAGACUCCUACACAAAAGCUGUACAGGUUUGCCCAGCCUGCUACCAAAAAGACAGGUCUGUUUUGUUUUCAAACAGAGCUGCUGCAAGAAUGAAACAGGACAAGACAGAAGCUGCCCUAAGUGACUGCAGCAAAGCAAUCGAACUAGAUCCUAACUAUAUCAGAGCUCUGCUGAGGAGAGCAGAACUAUAUGAAAAAACAGAAAAACUAGAUGAAGCCCUGGAGGAUUAUAAAACAGUCCUAGAAAAAGAUCCAUCAGUACAUCACGCAAGAGAAGCCUGCAUGCGAUUACCUAGACAGAUUGAAGAGCGGAAUGAAAAAUUAAAAACAGAAAUGUUAGGCUCGCAAAACAAAUACCAUGGAGGAACAUUUCUCAUCCUGAGGAAUCCCUUGUUGUGAGUUAUGCAAAAUGCUGACUACUGAUGUAAAGGACAAAAGAGGUGGCCUUGAAUCCAAGAGGCGUCACACUACUUAUUCUGAAGCAGAGACAAUGGCAGUCAGCAAGGGGAAAGACACAAAGAAAAAAUGCAGCUCAGAAUGAUAAGAGACUCCUUGGAGAACUACAGGAUUGAAGUGGCAGCUCCUUCAGCCCUUGGUUGCAAGCUUUCUUCCCCACUGUCUUCCAGGCAUCCGAGUUAAAUGAGUGUUAUCAACACCACCAAACUGAGUAAAAAUCUCUUCCCCUUACAAUUACUUAUGUUUAAGUCUCUUUUGAUGUUAGAAUUCCACAAUCUACUAAGAAAUCCUCAAUAUGCCCUACAAUUUCUAAUGAAAAAAGAAGAGAAAAUAACUUUUCCCAUGGGAGAGAAACAAGGUAGGAAUCUCCUUAAUUCAUAAAAAGGGUGCAAUGAAUUUUUGAUUCUCUUUGCCAGUCACCUUUAAAUUAAGCUUUCAUGGAUGUCCCUGACGGGUUGAAACCAUGUGAUCUGUCAGCAAAAGGCAACUUGUCCAUUUCCAAUUCCAGCAGCUAUAAUGAAACUUGCUGUAUACAUUUACCUUCCUGUGAAAAGUAAUUCUCUGAGAAGGUAUAAGACUCUUCCAUUACAUUCCAGCCAAUCAAAUCUAAAUCUCUAAAAAGGUAUUAAACCCAGGAUCCUGUCCAGAAAGACCACUAAGACAGAGAUAAUUUUAACUAUGUUACUAGUUUUUUUAAUCAUUCAUUGAUUAAAAUAAAUUAGUACAUAAUGUUAAUUUUAGUGCUGGAUGUUUUAGAAAAACAGGUCCUAACAUGCACCUUAUUAAUAUCAAUAGUGAAAUGAUGAGUUUUGGUCUCAAAAAGACGAAAGAACAUUAAAUAACAUGUAAUUCUUUAUGAAGUGCUUAUUCACAUAGAUCCCAGUAUAAUCUGAAGAUAUACUUCCUGCCUUUACUUUUUAUUGGUCCUUAAAAAGCAUUUCUUCGGUUCUUGUUAUAGAACCACAAAGCAGCUAAAGUAGGGAUGGCCAAACUUACUGACCCUCUGAGCCACAUACGAUAAUCUUCAGAAGUUCAAGAGCCUGGCAUUCCUGCUGGGGCUUCUGCCCUGCGCAGAGGGGGGUCUCGGGGUUUCAGACCCGCAGGAGGCACCUGCUGGGGUUUUAGCCACGUGGGGCAUGCCUGCUGGCUUCAGUCCCACGGAGGCACCUGCUGGGGCUUUGGGCUUCAGCCCCACUCCUGCUGAAGCCCUGAGCCCAGUCAGGUGUGUCCUGAGCCCUGACAGGUGCGUCCACCAUGCCGCAAGGCAGAAGCCCCUAGCUUCCCCCCCUUUCCCCAGUCGGGUAGAAGGGUGAAUGUGCGGGAGGGACAUGCGGGGCUCCACAAGCUGCACUUUAACUGUAAAAGAGCCGCAUGUGACUCGGGAGCUGCAGUUUGGCCAAACCUGAGCAAAGACAUCACUACACCUUAGACUCAAGCUAACACUUCUUAGACACCUACAAUUUGGCUCAUCUUCAGAGGAACUAUCAGAACUUGUUUCACGGUAUCUACAAUUUUGAAAUGCUGGCAGGGCAUAAUCAAAUACCAACCAUAAAUAUAAAUAUCUUCUCCAGAGCCCAGCAAAAAGUCUAGGCACAGUUAGAGUCAGAAAAGCAAUAACUUCUAAUUCAAUAGAGAUUUGUGCUGUAUCAGUCAGUCUUCCCUAUUUUAUACACCUGUUAUCACAAAUACAAAGCAAAUACAGGUGGGAGAGUAAGUGGGAUUUAGUUUGUGUAUCACCAUCAUUAAACUGAGUUCUAGUUGCAGAAUCUAUUAUUGAUGAUAAUGCAGAAGCAGGACCUGAACCUGCUCCCUAAGGACUAGAUCAUGGAGUUACCUACAAGCCCUGGGCUACCCCAGGAGCACAUUAGGCACCAUAUUUUGAUUCAGAGUCACCAUUUGAUCCCUGCUUCCCCUUUGGUCCAAACUAUACCUUGUGCCUCUUACUUACCCUCUGCACCAGCUUCUUUGGAUUGAGGGUUGAAGGAGAAAAAUAAAACAUCCAGUCUCCACCUUCACAGGAUGGGGAGUAACAUCCCUGAAGCACCAGCUCUCCCCCCGACACACAGAUCAAUGAUGUGGGGAGCCUACACAGAUGAAUAAGGUGGUGUCUUUGGCCAUGUCUAUACAUACAGCGCUGCAGCUGUACCAAUACCACUGUGCUGCUGCACUGCAUCUGGUGAAGACGCUCUAUGCUGACAGGAGCUCUCCUGCUGGCAUUAAAAAAAAAAAGCAGCACUCCGAGAGCAGCAGAAGCUAUGUCGGUGGGAAUUCUUCUGCUGACAUAGUGACGUGCACAAUAGUGCUUAUGUCAGUGUAACAAACUACAUCCCUACAAGCAACUCAAGCCACUCCUUACCACAUUAUUCUUGAUCCUGUGUGCCAUUCAGCUUUGCUCUCCUUCUAGUCCCACAACACCCAGUUCUUAUGGCUACCUUUACAACACCUAGGUGAAAAUAAAGUAAACGGACAAGAUAUCUCAUCUCAACCUUUCAUUAUUGUAAGUGUUGUGUGUAACUUUGCUCACCUCCAUGUUUACUAACUCAGACUCAUAGAUAUUAAGGUCAGAAGGGACCGUUAUGAUCAUCUAGUCUGACCUCCUGCACAAUGCAAGCCACAGAAUCUCACCCACCCACUCCUGCAAUAAACCUCUCACCUAUGUCUGAGCUAUUGAAGUCCUCAAAUCAUGGGUUUAAAGACUCCAAGUGCAGAGAAUCCUCCAGCAAGUGACCCAUGCCCCAUGCUACAGAGGAAGGCGAAAAACCGGAUUUAUUGCACAAAAUAGUUAACUUCUAUCCCCCUAACAAUGGACUGCUAAUACGCUUGUUACUUCGUGUUUAGUCAUUUAUAUGACAAUGUACCUGCUGUUCCUAUUCAUAUAGUUGCCUGUAUAACCUCAGGUAUAAUUUAUGCCCCUUCUUGUAAUUAUCCAUUUGAAUAAAUUGUAAGUGAAAGGAGACAGGAGCUGAAUUAA